UACGUAGGCAGCGAGCGUUGUUCGGAGUUACUGGGCGUAAAGCGUGCGUAGGCGGUGGUCCAAGUCUGGUGUGAAAUCUCCUGGCUCAACUGGGAGGGUGCGCCGGAAACUGGGCCGCUGGAGUAUGGGAGAGGCAAGCGGAAUUCCAGGUGUAGCGGUGAAAUGCGUAGAUAUCUGGAGGAACACCCGUGGUGCAGACGGCUUGCUGGACCAUGACUGACGCUGAGGCACGAAAGCGUGGGUAGCAAACAGG
rnacentral:rRNA from 1 species